rnacentral:tRNA from 1 species
UCCCUGGUGGCUCAGAUGGUAAAGCAUCUGCCUGCAAUGCAGGAGAUGAGGGUUUGAUCCCUGCGUUGGGAA